UUAUGGCCAUAUCACGUUGAAACACCGGUUCUCGUACGAUCGCCGAAGUUAAGCAACGUCUAGCUUGGUCAGUACCUAGAUGGGUGACCGCUUGGAAAUACUAGCUGUUGUAA
rnacentral:rRNA from 1 species